GCGCUUAUCUGUAUAUUAUGAACAUUCAUUACUAUAUAAAUAUAGUGUAUUUACUUUCAAUUCUAAGUUUACUAAUCGAUCCAUAGUGGUCAUUGAUAUAGUAUACAGACCCUCUCUAUUUAAUAAACUCUGUGACUGCCGUGGAUAGUAAACUUGAAAAUGAUAGCAGAUAGAAUUCUGAAAAUACACUUUAUUCUUUGUAUAUGUAUGUUCAAAGUAUACAGAAAAACGCAAACCGGAAGUCUAAUCAGACUUAAAAUUUCG
rnacentral:lncRNA from 1 species